CAACAAGAGUGUAAAAACACAGUUCCCGGUUGGUAGUCCGGGCGCAGAACAUGCGCGCGUGUCUCUGUCAGUAACCUUCCCCCCUCGGGAUGUCCGACACUCUUGAAUUUUUC
rnacentral:ncRNA from 1 species